rnacentral:lncRNA from 1 species
UGCGUGCUACAUUCUUCGGGCAUCAUUCCCGAACCUCAAAAUUUUACUGUGCCUGAAAGUAACGAAACUCGACGAACUGCAGGGACAGCUCGGAAAGCUCAGUGUCUAUUGCAUAAAUAGCCUGUGCCAGUCGAGACCUUUCUGCUCUUCAGCAAUUUAUUGAAGCAGAGAUCCAAUAUUGCGUUCUGUAUUACCUCACCUGCUUCAGGUGCGCUCAACGUGUUGGAUCAGAACAUUUUCUCGAAGCGAUUCACCAUGUUAAUGUCCACCUCUGGAUCAAUCAUUCCGCAGAGAUGCCGGCACCUCAACUCCUCCAAGACCAGGUAAAAGACUUCGGCAUGUCUCAGGAUUUCACAUCUUGUUGUGUGUUUCUAAAAUCCGCGUGGCAUACAACGAAGAGGAUUUGACACCUCAGUGUGACACAUUUCCAACCCGCCUCACCUGCAAUUGGUAUUACGUUCAGAGUUUGAAAACAACCGGUCACUGGAUGCACCCAAAGGGAAAGUAACGUCCCUGUCACAAUGAACUUACAUGGCCCUAUCACAUCACAUCAUCGUAAAUUGGCAUCUCAAACAACCUCACGGAUGAAACCCGCUGUCAAAAACAAAUUGGCUCACGUUCAUAAGCUCCUAUUCCAACGCAGCAUCGACCACGCCAUUAUCAGGAACACCCAAGAAAAAGAAAAAAAGAAAGAAGGACACCGGAAGAUAAAAACACGAGAAAACUGUACUGGGUAAAGAAGACUGAGCGCAUCGAUUCUUACAGGGCGAACCCGAAUCCCAUGCCGGCGAAUUCAGUUGAAAGAUUCAAAACCCCUUAUAAAAAAAGCGUCGCAACCGCCCCUUCAAAUUGCACCACCUCCUCCCUAGAAGAACUCGGAGUAAAACAUCGGCAAGGCCUAGGCUGGCACUGACUAGGCAAUAGUUGAUCUUCCUCCCGAUCCGCAAGCCAGUUCACCAACACCCU